ACCAGGAAUUGGUUCUCAUCACUCGGGUGAUGUUCUUUGCCUUGAUGUCAUACUCAAAUUGCCUUGAGCCACGGAAGAAAUAGAAGAAGCCUAGGAGCAAAGAGGCAUGUGGAAGCACUGACACCCACCGUUAUGCUGGAAAACAGCGUCCACACGAAUGCCAAUUCCUGGGAAGUACUUCACUAUCCUCUGUGGGAACCUUCUGUCCAUGACUUGUGCCAUCUCAUCAUACCUGCAUGAAAAGAUUCCAAAGGCUUGAUGUCUGUUUGGUGAACUUAAUCUUUCUACUGCUCAGUUUAGCAGGGUUAUGAGGACUGGCAGAAGAAAUCAUCUAAUAGGACCAAUGAUAAAAAUGUGACAAAGAUUGUUCGAAUAAUCGUGUGUGUGUAUGCAUGCGCGUGCACAUGCACGUGUGUGUGGGCAUACACAGAAUUCCAAAUGUGCGUGCACAUUUGCUGCUGUACCCAAGUUUUGACCUAAGUCUGGGAAUUGAACGUAGGUUCUCAUGUGUGUAAAGUAAGUGCUUUGUUGACUGAGCCAUCUCCCCAUCCUCCACUUACCAUCUCUUAGAAACAGUAAGAACAAUGAAUGCUAGGGGCUAAGAUAUAGUUUUGUGGACAAGGACUGUAAACCACCACCACCAACAACAAAACCACUGAGGAAAAGGCCCCACCAUCUGUCAGAGUAG